UAUAAAGCGAAGACGAAGAGUAGUAACCCGAGCGGAAGCUAAAGAGAGCUGAUGGAUGGUGCGAAUCAGUGCGGAUGAUUGGGUGAAUGGACUUCCGAGCACCUGACCGAACCCUUAGGGCAGUAGGCUCAGGCGGUAAGCCUUACCGUUAUUAUAGGCGCGUAUUCGGCCGGCUUAUGGCCUGAUACGGACUGAGCGGGCUGUUUUCAGCCAACAAAGGUGGCACCACGGGUUUCCCGUCCUUUUU
rnacentral:ncRNA from 1 species